GAGCCCCCUUGUGCCGCUGCCGGUGGCGGAGAAGGUUCAGCCAGUGGUGGUGACCGGCGGCACCAACAGGUGAUUUGCUGAAACGCUAUGUUUAUUCAUCUGAAUCAGCUUCCGUUCCUUUCUAUAGCUCUUGCCAGUGGCUAGUUACGACUGCUGCUGCUAAUCGUCAAGUGAGUAAAGGGAAUAAUGAGGAAGGAGCAUCUUGGCAAGCCUACAAAAGAUACAAAUAAAUACUACAAGAAGUCAAGCAAAGACGAUCUUGUUUUAAGGGCAACACUGGAAUCAAUCACUAGAUUUGGUUAAAACAACAAUCUGUUGACAAGAAGGAAAUAUGUGAGUUUUUGUAGCCUGAUGCUUUAGACGUUACUGUGAUCGGAGAGGCUUCUACUAUUGUUCUGUAGUUUAUAUAUGUUAAAGCACAUAUAUUUGUACUUCGUAAAGUAUCAUUUGUUAUGUGUAUUCAGUUGUUUUCUCUGUGAAGUUUGUUACACGAGCUAUUUGUUUCACUGAUGCUAAAAAUAAAAUAGUAUAAAAUAUAUUUAUGUUCUUUCUUACCUGCAAUGUUCUUAUGGAACGUUGCCCUUAACAAUUAAAUCAAUGCGCUCUUUCAGCAAGUGGCGGUUGCCCAAACAUCACCUUGUCUACUUAGAAGUAUGGAGAGGAUGCAGCUGCCCGGCUCGUCAUCUUUAAUUUUGUCAAGAAAGAAGAAAAAUGUUGCCUCCCAAGGCCUUGUACUUUCAAACUUUCUGCGUAUUAAUGAUUUGUGUAUAAGUUCAUAUA